rnacentral:antisense_RNA from 1 species
AGCUCUCGCCAUUGUUUCUGCUCAGAACAGAUACCGCCCCUGUAAGGACCGGGAAGAAGAAAAAGAGGCCCAAGUCCUCGGACGCGCUGCUUUUAAAUGCCUCCUUCACCCCGCCCGUGCAUCCCGCUCCUAAGGGGUCAUCUCCUCGCCCUUCCCCGAAGUUUGGUAGAAACUAAAAACCAAAUUCAGAGGGUGUGAAGCUGAGUCUGGUGCAGAGAGAGAAGCCCGGCUCUGGGUCCUACCGCCACGAUCCGGCGAAGGAGCCAGCUCCUCCUCCCUGCUGCACCCGCUCCCCAUGCCGCAAGUCGCCCUCACCUCCAUCUCGGCGUCUGCGGGACCCGCGCCGGCCGCAGACGCAACCGCCUGCGCCGCGACGCCUUCGGGGCCGCCUUUGUUGCUGCUGUUGCUCCCGCCGCUGGCGGUCGAGGCUGCGGGCUUGGAAGGCGCGCUCUCGGGAGGCGGGGGUGGCGGAGGCUCGGCCGCGGACGACAUGAUGUUCCGUCUGCGUCACCCCCUGCUGCCAGAGGCCGAGUCCGGCGGGGAUGGACAGGGAGGCCUAGGCCUGGAUGCUACGUCGCAAUAAACUGGUGGAGGAGCGAGACUCCCACCCGAGCGCUCCCCCGCGCCGCGCCUCCGCGACGGGCCUGAGCCGGGCCCAGGAGCUGCACACUCCCAAACGUUCUGCUCUUCCGCGGCGCUCUAGGUUCCACCGGCGCUUACCUCACGGCGGGAAUCACGUCGACGAGGGUGGGCGGGGCCAGACGGGUCACUGAGGUCAAGGAAGGCGGGCUGAUUUAGAGAAGGGCGGAGGGUUGGGGGAAGGGAAAAAGAAAACGAAAGAGAGACUGAGGCUGGGAAAACGCUUCGCCGCCUCCUCCUCUUCCUCCGGCAGAUAUCAUCUAUCUCGCCAGCAUCCAGGACGACUACCUACGCCACCGACUUUC